rnacentral:rRNA from 1 species
AUUGAACGCUGGCGGCAGGCCUAACACAUGCAAGUCGAGCGGUAGCACAGAGAGCUUGCUCUCGGGUGACGAGCGGCGGACGGGUGAGUAAUGUCUGGGAAACUGCCUGAUGGAGGGGGAUAACUACUGGAAACGGUAGCUAAUGCCGCAUAACGUCGCAAGACCAAAGUGGGGGACCUUCGGGCCUCAUGCCAUCAGAUGUGCCCAGAUGGGAUUAGCUGGUAGGUGGGGUAACGGCUCACCUAGGCGGCGAUCCCUAGCUGGUCUGAGAGGAUGACCAGCCACACUGGAACUGAGACACGGUCCAGACUCCUACGGGAGGCAGCAGUGGGGAAUAUUGCACAAUGGGCGCAAGCCUGAUGCAGCCAUGCCGCGUGUGUGAAGAAGGCCUUCGGGUUGUGAAGCACUUUCAGCGGGGAGGAAGGCGGUGAGGUUAAUAACCUCAUCGAUUGACGUUACCCGCAGAAGAAGCACCGGCUAACUCCGUGCCAGCCGCCGCCGUAA